CAGCCGCCGCGGGAAAACGGAGGGUGCAAGCGUUAAUCGGAAUUACUAGGCGUAAAGCGCACGCAGGCGGUCUGUUAAGUCAGAUGUGAAAUCCCCGGGCUCAACCCGGGAACUGCAUUUGAAACUGGCAGGCUUGAGUCUUGUAGAGGGGGAUAGAAUUCCAGGUGUAGCGGUGAAAUGCGUAGAGAUCUGGAGGAAUACCGGUGGCGAAGGCGGCCCCCUGGACAAAGACUGACGCUCAGGUGCGAAAGCGUGGGGAGCAAACAGGAUUAGAGACCCCGGUAGUCCCUGUCUCUUAUAC
rnacentral:rRNA from 1 species